rnacentral:rRNA from 1 species
CCUACGGGAGGCAGCAGUAGGGAAUCUUCCACAAUGGGCGAAAGCCUGAUGGAGCAACGCCGCGUGGGUGAAGAAGGUCUUCGGAUCGUAAAACCCUGUUGUUAGAGAAGAAAGUGCGUGAGAGUAACUGUUCACGUUUCGACGGUAUCUAACCAGAAAGCCACGGCUAACUACGUGCCAGCAGCCGCGGUAAGACGUAGGUGGCAAGCGUUAUCCGGAUUUAUGGGGCGUAAAGGGAACGCAGACGGUCUUUUAAGUCUGAUGUGAAAGCCUUCGGCUUAACCGGAGUAGUGCAUUGGAAACUGGGAGACUUGAGUGCAGAAGAGGAGAGUGGAACUCCAUGUGUAGCGGUGAAAUGCGUAGAUAUAUGGAAGAACACCAGUGGCGAAAGCGGCUCUCUGGUCUGUAACUGACGCUGAGGUUCGAAAGCGUGGGUAGCAAACAGGAUUAGAUACCCGUGUAGUC